UAUUUCGAAAAUGGGAAAUAGCAAUUCAUCCAUUUUGAGUGAUGCUGAAAUGAGAGAAAUUAUGGACGAAACGCAAUAGUCUGUGUAAUAAUUGCAAAACAAUUCACUCCAAAAAACACAAUUUCAGUCAACAAACAUCAAAUUCUCCGACUCUAUACUCGAUUUGCAUCACUUGAUAAAAAUGGUCAAGGAUAUUUGUCACGUGACGACUUCUUGAAUGUCCCAGAACUAGCUGUCAAUCCGCUUGGAGAUCGAAUUAUCGACGCAUUUUUCACAUUAGGCGACUCUGAUGGGGAUAGCAAAUCCGGGCAAUUGACUUUCCGACAAUUUGUGAGAAUUCUGGCACAUUUUCAACCAAUCUCUAAAGUGAAGGAUAAUGCGCUGAAUUCGAGGAAGGACAAGCUUCGAUUUGCCUUCAAAAUGUAUGACCUGAACAAGAACAACUACAUCACACGCGAGGAGUUCAAAGUGAUCCUAAACAGUAUGGUAGGAGCUAACAUAACUUCUGAUCAACUCGACAAAAUCGCCGACAAAACUCUCGAGGAAGCCGACCAAGAUCGUGAUGGAAAAAUUUCGUUUGAAGACUUUUGUAGAGCCAUGGAGAAAACGGAUAUUGAGGAGAAAAUGUCGAUGCGAUUUUUGAAUUAAUUUCUAUAUUUUUUAAAUGUUUGUAUCUUUGCAAAAUAUUUUUCACUAUUGAAAACAUUCCGAAAUUGUAUGUAAAAUUAUAUGAGAAAAAUUGUUUAAUAAAUUUAUUAUUUAGUACACCAA